rnacentral:rRNA from 1 species
AGAGUUUGAUUCUGGCUCAGGAUGAACGCUAGCUACAGGCUUAACACAUGCAAGUCGAGGGGUAGCAGGGUAGCAAUACCGCUGACGACCGGCGCACGGGUGAGUAACACGUAUCCAACCUUCCCAUAACUCAGGGAUAGCCUUUCGAAAGAAAGAUUAAUACCUGAUAGUACUUUUUCAAGGCAUCUUGAGAAAGUUAAAGAUUUAUUGGUUAUGGAUGGGGAUGCGUUCCAUUAGAUAGUUGGUGAGGUAACGGCUCACCAAGUCUUCGAUGGAUAGGGGUUCUGAGAGGAAGGUCCCCACAUUGGUACUGAGACACGGACCAAACUCCUACGGGAGGCAGCAGUGAGGAAUAUUGGUCAAUGGGCGAGAGCCUGAACCAGCCAAGUAGCGUGAAGGAUGAAGGUCCUAUGGAUUGUAAACUUCUUUUAUAGUAGAAUAAAGUGAUCCACGUGUGGAUUUUUGUAUGUAUACUAUGAAUAAGGAUCGGCUAACUCCGUGCCAGCAGCCGC